rnacentral:rRNA from 1 species
UACGAAGGGGGCUAGCGUUGUUCGGAAUUACUGGGCGUAAAGCGCGCGUAGGCGGUGAUCUUUGUCAGAGGUGAAAUCCCGAGGCUCAACUUCGGAAUUGCCUUUGAAACGGGAUCGCUUGAGUCCGAGAGAGGAUGGCGGAAUUCCUGAGUGUAGAGGUGAAAUUCGUAGAUAUUAGGAAGAACACCGGUGGCGAAGGCGGCCAUCUGGCUCGGUACUGACGCUCGGCGCGGAAAGCGAUGGGGAGCAAACAGGGAUUAAGAAACCGGAGGUAACGUCCGAG